GUGGCUUAAUUCGACUCAACGCGCAACAAUUUACUUGGUCCGAACGCUUUGAGGAUUGACAGUUAUUGUAUAGUUCUGAUAUGGGUGGUAUUUGUAGUCAACGUGUAGGUAGUUGUAUAUUAAAUAUGAAAGUUCUUUUAUGAUUAUGUGAUAGGUGGUGCAUGGCCGUCCUUAAUUCGUGGAGUGAUUUGUCUGCUUAAUUGCGCAUUGCAAAUUGUAAUUGAUCUUUUACCAGUCUCGUUCUGAUUUAUGUUGUGAAUAUUGUAGAAUAUUGUUGUCGUCGACUCAUUAUUGCCACUACGUCUGGUCCUUCGGGCAGAAUAGGUUGUAUAUUAUGUCUUGUCAACACAAAAUUCUUCACAAUAUUGUAGCCGUACUUCAUUGUAUGCGCUAUUCAUGUAUAUGUGACACAUUUGUGGUUCAAGACCAGUUCGGCUGCUUGCACACAUAUACACUCGACAUGCUCAGUCAGGCUGCUAGAGACCUGUGUCUUCCCCAAAGGUGAUUAACACCGUGAGUCAACGAGUGGAUUGCAAGCCU
rnacentral:rRNA from 1 species